rnacentral:rRNA from 1 species
UACGGAGGGUGCAAGCGUUAUCCGGAAUCACUGGGUUUAAAGGGUGCGUAGGCGGCUCUAUAAGUCUGUAUUGAAAGCAUCCGGCUUAACCGGGUAACUGGUAUGGAUACUGUAGGGCUUGAAUAAGGAUGAGGCUGGCGGAAUGUGACAUGUAGCGGUGAAAUGCAUAGAUAUGUCAUAGAACACCAAUUGCGAAGGCAGCUGGCUAGGCCUUUAUUGACGCUGAGGCACGAAAGCGUGGGGAGCGAACAGG